rnacentral:rRNA from 1 species
UGGGGAAUUUUGCACAAUGGGGGAAACCCUGAUGCAGCGACGCCGCGUGGGUGAUGAAGGCCUUAGGGUUGUAAAGCCCUUUCAGCAGGGAAGAUAAUGACGGUAGCCGGAGAAGAAGCCCCGGCCAACUCCGUGCCAGCAGCCGCGGUAAUACGGAGGGGGCUAGCGUUGUUCGGAAUUACUGGGCGUAAAGCGCGCGUAGGCGGGCUGGUCAGUUGGGGGUGAAAUCCCGGGGCUUAACCUCGGAACUGCCCUCAAUACUACCAGUCUAGAGAUCGAGAGAGGUAAGUGGAAUUCCUAGUGUAGAGGUGAAAUUCGUAGAUAUUAGGAAGAACACCAGUGGCGAAGGCGGCUUACUGGCUCGAUACUGACGCUGAGGCGCGAAAGCGUGGGGAGCAAACAGGAUUAGAUACCCCCGUAGUCC